rnacentral:rRNA from 1 species
CCUACGGGUGGCUGCAGUGAGGAAUAUUGGUCAAUGGACGGAAGUCUGAACCAGCCAUGCCGCGUGCAGGAAGACGGCUCUAUGAGUUGUAAACUGCUUUUGUACAAGGGUAAACCUGAAUACGUGUAUUCAGCUGAAAGUACUGUACGAAUAAGGCACGGCUAACUCCGGGCCAGCAGCCGGCGGAAUCAGGAGGAUCCAAGCGUUAUACGGAUUUAUGGGGUUUAAAGGGUGCGUAGGCGGAUUGAUAAGUUAGAGGUGAAAUGUCCGAGCUUAACUCGGGAACUGCCGCUAAUACUGGUGAUCUAGAGAGUAGAUGCGGUAGGCGGAAUGUAUGGUGUAGCGGUGAAAUGCUUAGAGAUCAUACAGAACACCGAUUGCGAAGGCAGCUUACCAAUCUAUAUCUGACGUUGAGGCACGAAAGCGUGGGGAGCAAACAGGAUUAGAUACCCCUGUAGUC